rnacentral:rRNA from 1 species
AGAAUCAACGCUGGCGGCGUGCCUAACACAUGCAAGUCGAACGAGAAAGUGGAGCAAUCCAUGAGUACAGUGGCGUACGGGUGAGUAACACGUGACUAACCUACCCUCGAGUGGGGAAUAACCUCGGGAAACCGGGGCUAAUACCGCAUAACAUCUUCGGAUCAAAUGCGUAAGCAGCUUGAGGAGGGGGUCGCGGCCGAUUAGCUAGUUGGCGGGGUAAUGGCCCACCAAGGCAAUGAUCGGUAGCCGGCCUGAGAGGGCGCACGGCCACACUGGAACUGAAACACGGUCCAGACUCCUACGGGAGGCAGCAGUGGGGAAUUUUGCGCAAUGGGGGAAACCCUGACGCAGCAACGCCGCGUGGAGGAUGAAGCCCUUUGGGGCGUAAACUCCUUCGAUCGGGACGAUUAUGACGGUACCGGAAGAAGAAGCACCGGCUAACUCUGUGCCAGCAGCCGC